ACAGCUGAAAUAGCAGGAAAUAAUACAGUUAAAGAGCAGAUUGUAGAAGAAAGAAACCCCUGGGUUAAACUGGUCUGUCUACUGCAUAAUGCUGAACUCUAACAUGUGUCCUAAGGGAAGGACCUGAUUGGUGUCCAGAACCUGCUGAAGAAGCACCAGGCUCUGCAGGCUGAGAUCACAGGUCAUGAACCUCGCAUCAAGGCUGUCACCCAGAAAGGAGAGACCAUGGUGGAAGAAGGUCACUUCGCUGGUGAGGAAGUGAAGACUAAACUGUGGGAGCUUCAUAGACGUUGGGACACGCUGAAGGCCAAGGCGUCCCAGAGGAGGCAGGACCUGGAGGACUCUCUGCAGGCCCAGCAGUACUUUGCGGAUGCUAAUGAGGCCGAGUCCUGGAUGAGGGAGAAGGAGCCCAUCGUUGGAAGUCCAGACUAAGGGAAAGACGAGGACUUGGCCGAGGCUGUCCUGAAGAAGCACGAGGCCCUGAUGUCGGACCUGUCGGCUUACGGCAGCAGCAUCCAGGCCCUGAAGGAGCAGGCCCAGUCCUGCAGGCAACAAGGUGAUCAGCAGGUGCUUUUGUCCUGCAGGACCUGAAGGCCAACGAGUCCCGCCUGAGGGACAUCAACAAGGUGGCAUCUGAACUGGAGUCAGAAGGUCUGAUGGCUGAGGAGGCUCCUAUGGUUCAGGCUCAGGUGAGCGUCACCUGUCUGCAGCAGCUGGUCCCUCUCACUUCCUGGUUUAACUCUGCUCGUCUCUGUUUGUAGCAACAAGAACAUCUGGGUUCUGCUCCUGGAAAGGUGCGUGUUGUCCUCCGCCUCCACCAGAACCAGACGUGGUGUUUAUGUUACCACUCAUUUGUUUGUUUACAGGAUGAAGCCGACUCUAACACGGCGUCACCCUGGAAGGUGAGUUCAUUCAGCUGAUCAGAGGUCACCUCUGAUGGCAGCAGUCACGGCCGACCGUGCUGACAUCACACAGGAAUUCAGGUGACCCGGCAGGCACCAGGUUUUGGUGAAAGUGGGGACAUGUCAGCUGGUUGCCAUGGCUAGUUAUCUUUAUGCAUCUGUAUGACUGCUGACUGGUGUGUGUUUCCUGUGACCUUUGACCUCAGACCGUACGGUUGGGCGUUCAGACGACGGCUAACUUUAAUUCCAUCAAGGUAAGAGGAAGCUCUUCCCUUCCUGUCUGAGCGAUCCGUCUCCAGGUUUCUUCGUCCGGCGUCCAGCCCGCUGGCAUCCACCUUCAUCUCACCUUCAUCUCAUCUCACUUCAUUUAUAGUGCAAUACUUUCACAUUAUCAUUUUCCCACACUUCUGUAUACCUGUAUUUUGUUGUUUUUCAAUAAAGAAUGACAAAUUAUUUAAGUUUGGUUUUUGUUGCACACAAAUAUAUAUCUGUAAAAAAUAUCUACAAAGCUAAUGUUUACAUAACAAGUAUGAUUGGGUUUUGCAAUACGGCACUCAAGUUUAUUUUAGUAAGAUUUUCAAACCAAGUAAAGUUAGUAAAGAACACAUUUCUAUUGUCUGCUAAGAAACUGUUGGGAUUUAAAAUGGGCCUGUUGUACAAAUAACUUGUAAAUGAUUAUUCCUCACUUUUGUCUUAACCAAAGAAAUUCCAGUAAUUGAGCAAAAACAUUUAUUUUUAACACUACAGUUUAUAAAACAGGGCGCAAAGUGUCGGCACAUGUAUGUAUGUCGAUGGUCCGCCCCAACCAAACCAAGAGACACAGACGUCAGGGAGGCCAAGGUUGUCUCUGCAGCUCUCUGGGCACCACGCCUCACUCAGCUGUCUCCAAUGAUCCAAAUGGCUAUGGAGGAAAAAAUAACAGGUUUGGCCUAGCUGUUUAAAGUACAAAACCAUUCAUGAAGUGGUCAAGACAAGUACUUGGAACUUACACGCUGCGUUGUGUAGCUGACGUUGGAGACACACAGGCUGCCAUGGUGACCUUUUAAUAGAUCUAAGAAAAAAAUGUAAUAAAAGAAUGAAACUUAAAAACUCCCAGACCUCAUGUCAUAUUUACUCAUCAGCUAUGGCUGAUUUGUUUGGAUCACAGUGAGUUACACUAAUUCUAAUAUAUUUUUAUUUCUAUUAUACAUACAUACUUUUUAACUGUUAUUUUCACAUGACUGUUAUAAGGCUCUCUUGUUCUGGUUCUGAUGAUAACUCUGUGUCUUCCAGUAAGUUAUCUUGUGCUUACUUCAUCUGUAUAAUGUCUCUUUACUUUUGGUAAAUUGUACUGAGUCCAGAAUAAAGGCUAGUUGGCUGUACAAGAUACAAACAAGUAUUACGUUUUGGAAAUAUAUGAAACACCGCCAGCAUCUGUUAGAGCCUGUGGCGGGGUGCUGAGGGCCGGCUCCAGCCCAGGAAUGAGCUCUACACGCCGGCCGGGAGGGUUUGAAACACCGCCAUCCUCUCCUCUGCUGGCUGUAAAUUCUGUUAUGGUUACCGGUGCUUGUGUUGCAAUGUGAAACGCUUGGUCUCAGAUUUUGUAAGAAAGAUAAUAAAAUGUCCCCCCAAAAUACGA